rnacentral:rRNA from 1 species
AACCUCCGCAAUGUGAGAAAUCGCGACGGGGGGAUCCCAAGUGCCAUUCUUAACGGGAUGGCUUUUCAUUAGUGUAAAGAGCUUUUGGAAUAAGAGCUGGGCAAGACCGGUGCCAGCCGCCGCGGUAACACCGGCAGCUCUAGUGGUAACAAUUUUUAUUGGGCCUAAAGCGUCCGUAGCCGGUUUAAUAAGUCUCUGGUGAAAUCCUGCAGCUUAACUGUGGGAAUUGCUGGAGAUACUAUUAGACUUGAGACCGGGAGAGGUUAGAGGUACUCCCAGGGUAGAGGUGAAAUUCUGUAAUCCUGGGAGGACCGCCUGUUGCGAAGGCGUCUAACUGGAACGGUUCUGACGGUGAGGGACGAAAGUUAGGGGCGCGAACCGGAUUAGAUACCCGGGUAGUCCUAACUGUAAACGAUGCGGACUUGGUGUUGGGUGGCUUUGAGCUGCUUCAGUGCGAAGGGAAGCUGUUAAGUCCGCCGCCUGGGAAGUACGGUCGCAAGACUGAAACUUAAAGGAAUU